rnacentral:rRNA from 1 species
GAUGAACGCUGGCGGCGUGCCUAAUACAUGCAAGUCGAGCGAACAGACGAGGAGCUUGCUCCUCUGACGUUAGCGGCGGACGGGUGAGUAACACGUGGAUAACCUACCUAUAAGACUGGGAUAACUUCGGGAAACCGGAGCUAAUACCGGAUAAUAUAUUGAACCGCAUGGUUCAAUAGUGAAAGACGGUUUUGCUGUCACUUAUAGAUGGAUCCGCGCCGCAUUAGCUAGUUGGUAAGGUAACGGCUUACCAAGGCGACGAUGCGUAGCCGACCUGAGCGGGUGAUCGGCCACACUGGAACUGAGACACGGUCCAGAGUCCUACGGGAGGCAGCAGUAGGGAAUCUUCCGCAAUGGGCGAAAGCCUGACGGAGCAACGCCGCGUGAGUGAUGAAGGUCUUCGGAUCGUAAAACUCUGUUAUUAGGGAAGAACAAAUGUGUAAGUAACUAUGCACGUCUUGACGGUACCUAAUCAGAAAGCCACGGCUAACUACGUG